UACGUAGGUGGCAAGCGUUGUCCGGAUUUAUUGGGUUUAAAGGGUGCGUAGGCGGCCCUGUAAGUCAGUGCUGAAAUAUCCCGGCUUAACCGGGGAACUGCGUCUGAUACUGGAUGGCUAGAGGUUGGGAGAGGGAUGCGGAAUUCCAGGUGUAGCGGUGAAAUGCGUAGAUAUCUGGAGGAACACCGGUGGCGAAGGCGGCAUCCUGGACCAAUUCUGACGCUGAGGAGCGAAAGCCAGGGGAGCAAACGGG
rnacentral:rRNA from 1 species